rnacentral:lncRNA from 1 species
GAUGAACAGCAGCAUGGAAGUGUAAGCCGAAUAAACCCUUUCCUCCCCAACUUGCUUCUUGGUCAUGAUGUUUGUGCAGGAAUAGAAACCCUGACUAAGACAAAUUGGUACCAGCAGAGUGGGGUAUUCCUGUGACAACCUGACCAUGUUUUGGGGAGGUCUGUGGAAGGACUUUGGAACUUUGGUCUUGAAGAUCCAUUUGUUGUUAAGAGCUCUGUGGGAUGUUGUGUAGGAGCUUGGAAGAUAAUGUUGAGAACAGUGCAGAAGAUGGAGGCCUGGCUUGUGAAAUUUCAGAGGGAAAAUUAAAGACUCUUUUCAGGGCCAUUGCUGUUUUGAUUGUGAAGAUUCUGUAGUUCUGGUUAGCUGGGGCUGAAGAAUCAGCUGUGAUUAACAAGAUACCAGAACUACUGAAGCAAAAGCUUUGCAUUACUGGGACUAUUGAUGCUGGUUAGCUGGAGCUAAGAAAUUAGCGGUGAUUAAGAAGAGACCAGCAUCAUUGAGGUGACAUCUUCUGGGAAGUGUUUUCUGAGAGCACAGUGGCUGUGUUCCAGAUAUAGCCAAAGUUGUACCUUGUGCUGUGGCUGGACUUGGUAAUGUGUAAGAGUCACCCAGGUGGUACUGGUUUUGAAGGCAUGAAGGAGUUGAGCAGAACAGCUGAGGCUUGGCACUGUGAGAGGCCAUGGAAGGCCAUUGGUGAAAGUCCAGCCUCAUUUGCAAUUGAUGGCCCAGGACUGAAGGGGUCAUGCAGUGUUUUGGAGAUGCCAGUACCAUGAGAUGACCACCAAGAACAGCAGCAGCAGUGGAGUACAGGCAUCUGGAGCCUAGAGGAUGACGUGUGUGCUACAAAGGGCCUGGCUGGAGAAGUGACCCAAGCCCUUGGAGGAGCCCAGAAGAUUGUGAGUUGGAUCCCAGACAUUGGACAGUUGGAGAUUGACUUUUGCUUUUGAUUGACUGUGCCCUGAUAUUUUCCCUCUUGAAGGAAGAAACUG